AUUGAACGCUGGCGGUAUGCUUAACACAUGCAAGUCGAACGAUGAGAAAGAGCUUGCUCUUUCGAUUAGUGGCGGACGGGUGCGUAACGCGUAGGAAUCUACCUAUUAGUGGGGGACAACUUAGGGAAACUUAAGCUAAUACCGCAUACGCCCUACGGGGGAAAGAAGGGGAUCGCAAGACCUCUUGCUAAUAGAUGAGCCUGCGUAGGAUUAGCUAGUUGGUGGGGUAAAAGCUCACCAAGGCGACGAUCCUUAACUGGUUGGAGGGAAUGAUCAGUCACACUGGAACUGAGACACGGUCCAGACUCCUACGGGAGGCAGCAGUGGGGAAUAUUGGACAAUGGGCGAAAGCCUGAUCCAGCAAUACCGCGUGUGUGAAGAAGGCCUUAGGGUUGUAAAGCACUUUCAAUUGGAAGGAAAACCUCGAAGCUAAUACCUUCGAGUUUGACAUUACCUUUAGAAGAAGCACCGGCUAACUCCGUGCCAGCCGCCGCUGUAAUAC
rnacentral:rRNA from 1 species